rnacentral:rRNA from 1 species
GGGUUGUAAAGUACUUUCAGCAGUGAGGAAGGAGGUAUCGUUAAUAGCGGUAUCUUUUGACGUUAGCUGCAGAAGAAGCACCGGCUAACUCCGUGCCAGCAGCCGCGGUAAUACGGAGGGUGCGAGCGUUAAUCGGAAUAACUGGGCGUAAAGCGCAUGCAGGUGGUUUGUUAAGUCAGAUGUGAAAGCCCGGGGCUCAACCUCGGAAUUGCAUUUGAAACUGGCAGGCUAGAGUACUGUAGAGGGGGGUAGAAUUUCAGGUGUAGCGGUGAAAUGCGUAGAGAUCUGAAGGAAUACCGGUGGCGAAGGCGGCCCCCUGGACAGAUACUGACACUCAGAUGCGAAAGCGUGGGGAGCAAACAGGAUUAGAUACCCUGGUAGUCCACGCCGUAAACGAUGUCUACUUGGAGGUUGUGGCCUUGAGCCGUGGCUUUCGGAGCUAACGCGUUAAGUAGACCGCCUGGGGAGUACGGUCGCAAGAUUAAAACUCAAAUGAAUUGACGGGGGCCCGCACAAGCGGUGGAGCAUGUGGUUUAAUUGGAUGCAACGCGAAGAACCUUACCUACUCUU